GCAGCUAAGUUUAAUAAAGUAAAAUUAGUGUACUGUAAUUUAGAAAGAUAAGAAAAAGUGAUAAUUUAGAAUGUUAGAUAAGUAAAAUAGAUGGUUGCCUAUUUAGGAAAUGUUAGUCAUCGCGAGUUCAGUCUGCAAACUUUUAAUUUAGUAACAUGUUGUAAACAAUGUCAUAGGCCUAGAGAUCUACUAGAAAGCUAAGACGCUUUUGAAUUAAGACCCCCAGCACAAAACCCCAGGUUACAUGGUUGUGAUAAUUCUAUAUUUUUAGCCCGCAUAGCAUUGGCCCGCCCGCGGUUACUAUUAAAACUAGUAACCCCAAGAGCAGGCGCGCCGGCACAAUGCUAUGCGGGCUAAAAAUAUAAAAUUAUCACAACUAUAUAACCUGGGCUUCCUGCCCCCCUCAGUUGUUAAAAUAUUAGUAAGUGCUAAAAAAUGAGGUAGCUAAUCCCAAAUUACAAUAAUUUGUUAUAUUCUGUUAGCAGUUACAAUGACUGUGAGCAUUUCUUGACUUUCUUUUUGGAGAUAAUGAAAGAUUUAAGGUUUUUAAAUUUGUUUCACGCUCAUUCCAAAUAUCAAUCCCUGUACUAGUAAGGAAAUGUUUAACAUAUAUUGAGAUUGAAAAGAUUUCUUGUUUUGUAAUUGUGAACAUUGCUAUUGUUUACAAACAAGUUGUUAAAUGUUCCAUCACGAUGUGAUGGUUUGGAAACUAAACAGAAGUAAUUGUGUUGUUUUUGUGUGAGUUUUAAAAACCGCGCAAUCAAUUUUGGUCAAAAUCUUUAACUUCGUAAAAAUAUUCACUGGGUCAACCCUCUUCAAAUUCUGGUGUGGAACUUUUCUAAAUGACAGUGCACUCUUGAAAAUAAAACAAGAGAGCAUAUCGAAAACUACGUUGCAUGUUUCAACAUGUUCCCUUGAACCAGUAAGAAACACAGUUUAACAAAUAAGACUUCCUCUCAGUCCACAACAAUCUUUUGAUAUCUAAUAGCCUGACAAACGCAGACAAGCUUCUGAGUUGUUGACACAAAAAUAUUGCUAUACCAAAUUAUUGUAAAAUUAUCUUAAAAGAAUCUAUAUCGUCUUUCAGACACUAUGUUUAUUUUCCAAAUACAUGUUCUAUUAUCCAAUCAACUGUCACGAUAUUUUGGUCUCCUUAGAUGGUGUCUUGAUGUUCAAGUUGUAUUAUUAACACUGUGAAUAGUGUGGAUUGAUUGUGUGGUGUUUUGUGGCUGUUACUGCCGGAUAACUCGUUACAGAUUGUCAUUGAUAUGGCUUUGAUCAACUCUUAGUUUCACCAUUACUUCCAUUGCAAGCCGUUUUCUCACUACUAGGACCAUUCUCCACGAUGUCUCCAUGUUUUACAGGCAUGAAUAGUAAACAGUAAGGAAACAGAACAUGACAUCUUUUCUUAUACUCUUCCACUUUGUCAGGACAUUCGCCAAAACAUCCAGUUUGCAAAGCAUUCAAAACAUCUGUAGAAACCUAAAAUAAUCUGGAGUGAAAACCUGGACUACUGAUGCGUUACGAGAUGGCGGGCAACUUUAGAACUGCGGACACUGAGAGGAGAAAGAAACAACAUCUCUAUUUAUUGCUUAUUAUAAACCAUGCAAACAAAUAAAUAUUCUGAUAGCUGCAUGGUAGUUGAUCAACGAUCACCUGCAGCAUGGUAAAGUAAACUAGUAUAUACAGGGUGUCCUCAAAAAAGUAACACUAUAUAGAAAUUAUCCUAUUGUUAUAAUUUGAAUGCCUGAGCACUAUGCUGAACA
rnacentral:lncRNA from 1 species